GGGUAUCAGGUUAUGGGGCUAUGGUAAGGUUUAAGGUUUUUGGCGUUAGGGUUAAAAUCACUGUCCAAAACCUUUGUAGGAACUCUUUUCCAAACACGGAGUCAGUUAGACCAAAAAAAAAAUGAAAAAUGAAAUUAAAAAAUAUUUGGGGUGUUCAGGCUUCCUGAAGGUAAUACCCGGGUAUUAGGUUAUGGGGCUUAGGAAAUGUUUAAGGUUUUUGGCGUUAGGGUUAAAAUCACUGUCCAAAACCUUUGUAGGAACUCUUUUCCAACCUUUUGGAGUUAGGUUGACCAAAAAAAAAAAGAAAAAAGAAAAAAAAUGUAUUUGGGGUGUUCGGGCUUCCUGAAGGUAAUACCCGGGUAUUAGGUUAUGGGGCUUUGGAAAGUUUUAGGGUUUUUGGCAUCAGGGUUAAAAUCACUGUCCAAAAACCUUUGUAGGAACUCUUUUCCAACCUUUUGGAGUUAGUUAGACCAAAAAAAAAAGAAAAAAGGAAUAAAAAAUAUUUGGGGUGUUCGGGCUUCCUGAAGGUAAUACCCGGGUAUUAGGUUUUGGGGCUAGGGUAAGGUUUGAGGUUUUUGGCAUUAGGGUUAAAAUCACUGUCCAAAACCUUUUUAGGAACACCUUUCAGACCUUUUGGAGUUUGUACACCAAAAAAAAAAUGUAAAAUGAAAAAAAAAAAUUUGGGGUGUUCGGGCUUCCUGAAGGUAAUACCCGGGUAUCAGGUUAUGGGGCUAUGGUAAGGUUUAAGGUUUUCGGCGUUAGGGUUAAAAUCACUGUCCAAAACCCUUUUAGGAACUCUUUUCCAAACUUUUGGAGUUUGUACACCAAAAAAAAAAUGUAAAAUGAAAAAAAAAAAUUUGGGGUGUUCGGGCUUCCUGAAGGUAAUACCCGGGUAUCAGGUUAUGGGGCUAUGGUAAGGUUUAAGGUUUUUGGCGUUAGGGUUAAAAUCACUGUCCAAAACCUUUGUAGGAACUCUUUUCCAAACUUUUGGAGUCAGUUAGACCAAAAAACAAUGAAAAAUGAAAUAAAAAAUAUUUGGGGUGUUCAGGCUUCCUGAAGGUAAUACCCGGGUAUUAGGUUAUGGGGCUUAGGAAAUGUUUAAGGUUUUUGGCGUUAGGGUUAAAAUCACUGUCCAAAACCUUUGUAGGAACUGUUU